AACGAACGCUGGCGGCAUGCCUAACACAUGCAAGUCGAACGAUGCCUUCGGGCAUAGUGGCGCACGGGUGCGUAACGCGUGGGAAUCUGCCUUUCGGUUCGGAAUAACUCAGGGAAACUUGAGCUAAUACCGGAUAACGUCGCAAGACCAAAGAUUUAUCACCGAAAGAUGAGCCCGCGUAGGAUUAGCUAGUUGGUGAGGUAAAGGCUCACCAAGGCGACGAUCCUUAGCUGGUCUGAGAGGAUGAUCAGCCACACUGGGACUGAGACACGGCCCAGACUCCUACGGGAGGCAGCAGUGGGGAAUAUUGGACAAGGGGCGAAAGCCUGAUCCAGCAAUGCCGCGUGAGUGAUGAAGGCCUUAGGGUUGUAAAGCUCUUUUACCCGGGAAGAUAAUGACGGUACCGGGAGAAUAAGCCCCGGCUAACUCCGUG
rnacentral:rRNA from 1 species